GGGUCUAUAGCUUAAAGGUUAGAGCGUACGCGUUAUUCAUAAAGUAAUAUAUCGAUUGUAACUUGAUAAGCGUAAAGUUGGUUGUUCGAAUCAACCUAGACCCA